UUCCCUUUUUUGCCCUCUCUUUCCUUCGGAUGUAACUAGCGGCUGUUUCUUCUUGAGAGGCGUCUGGUUCGAUUUCGACUGGCUGGUUGGAGAGUUUCAGGGGUAAAGAUGGGAGAGCUGGGUUGGUUCUUCGAUGUCUGCAUCUGGAGGCUUCAACUGUUUUACAUAGCUUGCUACCAUAAAGAAGCUGAUGUGGUUUGCUUAAAAUGCUCUCCACUUAGCCUCUUCUUCUCUUCCCUAUUUGCCCAGCCAUACGUACUCUUCUGUUGCAAAUGUUUCAUCGUUUCUACAGCAAAACACCACCAAUUUAAUAAUUGGAAAUUUUGAAUUAGAGAUUUGUCCCUUGCAUCGUUUGUCUUCAGCUGUUGUGAUCCUGCUUUUGUGUGGCUGUUUUUCAAAGUGCUUGAUAGCUUCUUUGACUACAGGUUAGUGUUUCAUCCAUUUUUCAAAAGACUGCAUGCAUGGUGGCUGUAGCUUAUUGAUUGCCAAAUAUUAUGACAAUUGAAAAUUCUCAUUUCUGUGGUUCUGUCAAUAUCACGGUGCAUUUGCUUUGCUUAAUUACAGUUUAGGUGUGAUUGAUAAUUUAAAAUUUUAUAAAUGCAUGUUUUUUCUCCUUUCCAGUUAUCAAUCUGUUGCUUGGGGUUUUAAAUUUCUGUGCAUAAUGUGUAAAAGGACUAGAGAUAGCAAAAGAAAUCAGAUGAUGCAAGAAGCUCAUAGUUUUGCCAUUUCAAAUGGUAUAGAAAUCUCAUAUGAAAGUGUUUGUCUUGCUGAUGAUAAACAUAAAACCAGAGAAGAAAAUGUGUCAGAUUCUGACAAUUUACCAAGUAUCGGUUUGAAGAAGAAAAAAGCCCUGGGCAGUUCCAAAAUUGCCUCUCCUACUUCCACAUCCUUUUCAAUUCAUUCAUCUCAUUAACGUACACAUUACAUACAUAAUAUUUCAUUGUUCACAGCUUAGUUCCCCACUCAAUUUCUCUAUAUUAAGUCGUAGUUAAUUGCAUUGAAUUUGGGCAAAGUUUCCUUUCUCAUAAUUGUCUUCAAUUAUGAUUCAAUUUUAAAGAAAAUUUAUCAACUCUCUUUUAAAAUAUGAUUUUUCUCAAACGUCUGUUAGAAUGCAAUUUGGUUUCAUUCCUUUGAGCCAACGUGUUUGAUUUUAAAGCAUUUGCCUUGCAUAAAUUUUUGUGGUUUACACAAGUGAUGUACAUAUAUUUCAAUUCUCCCUGAUUCUAAUAUUUUAGUCACUUGAAAUUUUUGUUCAUAUUAAGAAACUUCCCUGUUUUUAGAAGUUGGGGUAUGGAUAUUUGAUAACUUCAAUAAAUAUAUAAAUUUAUUUACUCUUUUUAAUUAAUUAUUAAAAUUUUAUUUUUUUCGUAUUUUUUUUGGAGCUCCCAUAUGAACUGACUCUCAAUUACAUUUUUCAAAUUUGAAACAUCGUUAUUAAAUGUUUAAAUGUAAUUAACAAAACUAUAACCUAUAGCAUCUUAUCUCUACCUUUAUUCUACUUCUAUAACAUAUAGCUGUUUAUACAUCAUUGCUACUUCUGUAGCUUACUUCUCCCCUAGAUUAUCUUACUUCUAUAACAAAUUUGCUCAUUAGGUCACUAGAUCAUCUUAUUUCUGUUUAUAGGUUAUUAGGUAUUUUUAGAUCAUUUAAAUUGUGGUUUGUUUAGUUUUUGUUGUUAGCCUUAAUUCUAUAACAAUAGCCAUUGUCUUUGCUCAAAUUUUCUCAUUUGUCGACACUGACACCUACUGUUUACCAAGUUUAUACCAACAGAGUCAACACCUCUUGAUUUGAUUCUAUUAAAAUUGUCACAAUUGUUUUCAGUUUAUUUUCAAUUGAUUCAAUAAAAUUCACCUUAUACUUUUAUCCAUCAGAUUAAUCGAAUGCUUGAUGUAUAUAAAUUGUUAUUUCUCUGGUUUACUUUUUUAACUUAAUUCUAUCAUAAACAUUAACGCUUGCCAUUUUCCGACUUUAAAACCUCUUGAAUGGAGAAGAAGGAACAUCGGCCAGCUACACAACAAAUGCAGCAACAGAUAGAUGCCCUUGCAAGAAACAUAUAAAUGUUGUAAAAUAUAUGGUGGAGCUCACCACUUGUUGGAUGGAGCUUUACCUACUCCACCACUUGUUGGAUGGAGCUCUGCCUACAAAAGGGGUGAACCCUUCCAUUGUUAAUAUAGACAAAAACACAGAUCAGAUUAGAGAACAGAAACACAAUGAGAUUAGUUUCUCUA